rnacentral:lncRNA from 1 species
CAGCAGCAGCAAGCAAAAUGCAGCAGUAGUAAUAGAAGAAGGAGAAACAGCAGAGGAGAGUGAGGAUAAACAGGAAAAUGAAGGCAGAGGAGGAAGAUAAGAACGAGGAAAAAAAGCUGGAGCAUUGUAAAGGCAUCGGUAAAAUUCAAUCAUUCAUCAUUCUACAUAUUUGCUGGAAAAAUAGCUUUUAUCAUUUAACUACACUUCAAGGUUUUAUUGGUGGUGUGAGACCAUCCAGAUAUCUCUCUCUGUGCACAGGAAUGAACAGCACUCCAGAUGGUGCAGCUCCGUCAGCCUUGACGCCCAAUUGUACACAAUGAAUGGACUUCCCACCUGGCUAUAUGCUAUAUGCUCAAACAAGAAUGACCAUAUAGCAUUAAUGACACAUAUAACUGCUACUUACAGACAAUGAGAUUUGUGCUUUGUUUUUUAUGGAUGUAUAAACUUACCCAGGCUGUCUGAUCCACCCCCUUCUCACAUUUAGUUUAAUAAAAAAAAAAUUAGAAGCCAUCAUCUAAGAAACCCAUGCAAUCCUUGUUUGUCUCUGAAGAAUCCAUGUAUCUUCCAUUCUGUGUGAAUUUAAUGUCACCUGUACUCCUGAUUUUACUUACUCAAUUCUCAUGGCACCCUCAUUUUAUCAUCGUCUAUCUUAUCUAUGUAACCCAUCCCUUCUAUUAUAUUUAGAUGAC